rnacentral:rRNA from 1 species
GAUGAACGCUGGCGGCGUGCCUAACACAUGCAAGUCGAGCGAUCUUCUUCGGAAGAGAGCGGCGGACGGGUGAGUAACGCGUGGGUAACCUGCCUCAUACACAUGGAUAACAUACCGAAAGGUAUGCUAAUACAGGAUGAUAUAAGAGAUUCGCAUGGAUUUCUUAUCAAAGCUCCGGCGGUAUGAGAUGGACCCGCGUCUGAUUAGCUAGUUGGUAAGGUAACGGCUUACCAAGGCGACGAUCAGUAGCCGACCUGAGAGGGUGAUCGGCCACAUUGGAACGGAGACACGGUCCAAACUCAUGCGGGAGGCAGCAGUGUGGAAUAUUGCACAAUGGGCGAAAGCCUGAUGCAGCAACGCCGCGUGAGCGAUGAAGGCCUUCGGGUCGUAAAGCUCUGUCCUCAAGGAAGAUAAUGACGGUACUUGAGGAGGAAGCCCCGGCUAACUACGUGCCAGCCGCCGCCGUAAAAC